rnacentral:rRNA from 1 species
UACGGAGGGGGCUAGCGUUGUUCGGAAUUACUGGGCGUAAAGCGCGCGUAGGCGGCUUUGUAAGUUAGAGGUGAAAGCCCGGAGCUCAACUCCGGAAUUGCCUUUAAGACUGCAUCGCUAGAAUCAUGGAGAGGUUAGUGGAAUUCCGAGUGUAGAGGUGAAAUUCGUAGAUAUUCGGAAGAACACCAGUGGCGAAGUCGACUAACUUGACAUGUAUUGACGCUGAGGUGCGAAAGCGUGGGGAGCAAACAGG